rnacentral:rRNA from 1 species
UAAGGAGGAUCCGAGCGUUAUCCGGAUUUAUUGGGUUUAAAGGGUGCGUAGGCGGUUUGAUAAGUUAGAGGUGAAAUGUCGGGGCUCAACCCCGAAACUGCCUCUAAUACUGUUGGACUAGAGAAUAGUUGCGGUAAGCGGAAUUCCUAGUGUAGCGGUGAAAUGCGUAGAUAUUAGGAGGAACACCAGUGGCGAAGGCGGCUUACUGGACUGUAACUGACACUGAGGCACGAAAGCGUGGGGAGCAAACAGG